rnacentral:rRNA from 1 species
CCCCUAGAUGUUCUGGGCCGCACGCGCGCUACACUGAACAGUUCAACAAGUCUUAACCUUGGCCGAUAGGUCUGGGUAAUCUUUGAACGCUGUUCGUGAUUGGGAUAGACCUUUGCAAUUAUGGGUCUUCAACGAGGAAUUCCUAGUAAACGCAAGUCAUCAGCUUGCAUUGAUUACGUCCCUGCCCUUUGUACACACCGCCCGUCGCACCUACCGAUUGAAUGGUCCGGUGAAAUCUCGGGGCGGCGGCUUGGUCGCUUGCGUCCGACUGCUGAAACUUGAUUAAACCAUAUCAUUUAGAGGAAGGUGAANUCGUAACA